rnacentral:rRNA from 1 species
AUUGAACGCUGGCGGCAGGCCUAACACAUGCAAGUCGAACGAGUGGCGGACGAGUGAGUAAUGUCUGGGAAACUGCCUGAUGGAGGGGGAUAACUCCUGGAAACGGUAGCUAAUACCGCAUACCAUCAGAUGAGCCCAGAUGGGAUUAGCUUGUUGGUGGGGUAAAGGCUAACCAAGGCGACGAUCCCUCGCUGGUCUGAGAGGCUGAACUGCCACACUGGAACGGAGACACUGUCCAGACUCCUACGGGAGGCAGCAGUGGGGAAGAUUGCGCAAUGGGCGCAAGUCUGAGUCAGCAAUGCCGCGUGAAUGAAGAAGGUCUUCGGGUUGUAAAGCACUUGCAUCAGGGAGGCGUUACCCACAAAAAAAGCACCGGCUAACUACGUGCCAGCAGCCGCGGUAAUUC